CUUGAUUUUGUGGAAUGCUGAACCAUUCAGAUAACAGAUUUCUCUUUUACUAGAUUAUUAAACUACCAUGGUAUUCAGAUGAGCAGAAGACGUACGAGACAUGUCUCCAGCUCUCACCUGAAUUUCUUGCUUAUUCAAACAUUACUGAGAAGAAUGGAGAUUCAGACAAGAUAAAAAUAUCUGGACCACAAGAUGAUGGAUUCAGAAGUUCAUGUCUACAUCCAGGCACUCACUCAAAAUGCUCCUUAGCAUCUUUUCAAGGGCAACCUUUGACCUCUUGGAGAGAUCCUGACACCCAUAAGGGAAGUAUUCCCACUGUUGUAAAGGAAGUGGGAAAGCAGUUUAAUGCUGUGAAAGGAAGGGAAGAGUGUGUGUCAAAAGAAACUGGGAGGAAAAGAGAAGAGAAGAGUUUAAAAUGUUUCCAGCAGGCCGAGGAGGCAAUGGAUGAGUUUAAAUUAAAAGUGAAGGAUCAAAAGAA